UGGCGAACGGGUGAGUAACACGUGGGUGAUCUGCCCUGCACUUCGGGAUAAGCCUGGGAAACUGGGUCUAAUACCGGAUAGGACCACGGGAUGCAUGUCUUGUGGUGGAAAGCGCUUUAGCGGUGUGGGAUGAGCCCGCGGCCUAUCAGCUUGUUGGUGGGGUGACGGCCUACCAAGGCGACGACGGGUAGCCGGCCUGAGAGGGUGUCCGGCCACACUGGGACUGAGAUACGGCCCAGACUCCUACGGGAGGCAGCAGUGGGGAAUAUUGCACAAUGGGCGCAAGCCUGAUGCAGCGACGCCGCGUGGGGGAUGACGGCCUUCGGGUUGUAAACCUCUUUCACCAUCGACGAAGGUCCGGGUUCUCUCGGAUUGACGGUAGGUGGAGAAGAAGCACCGGCCAACUACGUGCCAGCAGCCGCGGUAAUACGUAGGGUGCGAGCGUUGUCCGGAAUUACUGGGCGUAAAGAGCUCGUAGGUGGUUUGUCGCGUUGUUCGUGAAAUCUCACGGCUUAACUGUGAGCGUGCGGGCGAUACGGGCAGACUAGAGUACUGCAGGGGAGACUGGAAUUCCUGGUGUAGCGGUGGAAUGCGCAGAUAUCAGGAGGAACACCGGUGGCGAAGGCGGGUCUCUGGGCAGUAACUGACGCUGAGGAGCGAAAGCGUGGGGAGCGAACAGGAUUAGAUACCCUGGUAGUCCACGCCGUAAACGGUGGGUACUAGGUGUGGGUUUCCUUCCUUGGGAUCCGUGCCGUAGCUAACGCAUUAAGUACCCCGCCUGGGGAGUACGGCCGCAAGGCUAAAACUCAAAGGAAUUGACGGGGGCCCGCACAAGCGGCGGAGCAUGUGGAUUAAUU
rnacentral:rRNA from 1 species